UGGGGAAUAUUGGACAAUGGGCGAAAGCCUGAUCCAGCAAUGCCGCGUGUGUGAAGAAGGCCUUCGGGUUGUAAAGCACUUUAGGCAGGGAAGAAAAAAUCGGCGUGAAUAUCGCCGGUCUUGACGGUACCUGAGAAAUAAGCACCGGCUAACUCUGUGCCAGCAGCCGCGGUAAUACAGAGGGUGCAAGCGUUAAUCGGAUUUACUGGGCGUAAAGCGUGUGUAGGUGGUCAAGAAAGUCGGUUGUGAAAUCCCUGGGCUCAACCCGGGAACUGCUUCCGAUACUUCAUGACUCGAAUUCGGUAGAGGGAGGCGGAACUCCAGGUGUAGCGGUGAAAUGCGUAGAUAUCUGGAAGAACACCAAUGGCGAAGGCAACCUCCUGGGCCUGAAUUGACACUGAGACACGAAAGCGUGGGGAUCAAACAG
rnacentral:rRNA from 1 species